AGCCGCGGAAUCGGCAGUGAGGGAAGAAUCAGAAUUUUGUGACAAGGACAACGAUAAAGAUGACAACGAUAACGAUGAACUGCUCUUGUGAAUUCCAAUUGGGUAAAUUCUCUUGAGGUGCUUCGACAAAAAAUUCUGAUAAAGAUAUCCCAUCCAUUUUUAUUCCAAUGAAGUCAAUCUUUCAAAUUUGAAGGCAGUAAGAGGGUAAAGACUGUCAAACUCUUCACCUUUAAGCGAGAAUUUGAACUGCUAAGUAUGAACGAUGGUGAAAAUUAAAGAAUUAUUCCUCAACUCCUGGAAAUUGUGAAUAGAAAAAGAUUGUUCGGAGAAGAUUUUAGUGAUCAAAAGGUCAUAAAGAAGAUGCUCAUCAGCCUACCAGCUAGAUUUGAAUAGAAAGUUCCAACAAUUAAAGAAUUGUGUGAUUUAAAAGAUCCUUCAGCUACUGAAAUUAUUAACAAACCGCAGGCACAAGAACAAAGGACCAACAUGAGGGAUGAAGCUAUAUCAGAGGGAACCUUUCGGGUAAGGCAGAAAUGGAAGCCACCUGUGAAACACUGGAAGAAACAAGGAACUGACAGAGCUGGAAAAGGAAAGAAUGCUGGUCAUUCAACUGAUGCUUGUAAAAAGGAAAAAUUUCCAAUAUGCAGUUUCUGUAAAAGGGAUAAUCAUCAAGAAAAUGAUUGUAGAUAUAAACGGAAGAAGCUCAUUCAAUGCAGAUUUUGCAAGAAGUGGGGACAUUUAUCGAGAAAUAUUGCGGAAUGAAGAAGAAUGUAGCACCAACUCAACCACAACAACAAGUCUGACUUCAUUGAUCAACAAGAACAUGAUGAUUGUGAUAAGCUGCUUAUGGCUUCUUAAUUUGAUCAAUGAAGCAAGGAUCAAACAUGGUUCAUUGAUGGUGGUUGGGCCAGCCACACGGCUAUGAACGAAGGCUUGCUUUGUGCUGUAGACAAAUCAGUGAAGUAUAAAUGCUGUCAAAUGGUUAUUCUUUGUCUUUUAAAGAUAAUCAUCGUUCCAUUUAUGAACCUCAAGAUAGCUUGAUUGCUAGAGUUGACAAAAGCUUUCCUUUAAAUUGGAAUGAGCUGUGUAAUAGAGUUACCUUAGCACAAAAAGAUGAGUCCUUGUUAUGGCAUAGAAGAUCUGGACAUUUCAAUUAUAUUGCCUUAAAGAAUUUGCAUUCUAGAGGUUUAACGAAGGAUUUAUCUGAAAUGUCAAUGGUGGAGGAUGUAUUGAGUUCCUGCCAAUUGGGAAAAAUGCAUAGGAAAUCAUUUCCAAACUAUUCUUCUUGGACGGCACAGAAAAAGUUGGAAUUAGUUCACAUAGAUGUGUGUGGACCUACAAGUGUUGAACUCAUUGAGCAAUGACAAGAACUUUGUACUUUUUAUUGACCAUUACUCAAGGAUGUCUUGGCUUUAUUGCUUGAACAAAAAAAGGCAAGUUUUUCCCGUAUUUAAAAGAUUUAAAGCCAUGGCGGAGGAAUACAGUGGAUGUAUGGUAAGCAAUUUGAGGUCUGACCAUGGAAAAGAGCAUACCUUAAAUGAAUUUGAUUAGUUUUGUGCAGACCAGGGGACUAAUCAUCAACCAACUGUUGUUUAUUCACUUUAGCAAAA